GUCGGGUGUGGUGGCACGCACCUGUAAUCCCAGCUACUCGGGAGGCUGAGGCAGGAGAAUUGCUUGAACCCAGGAGGCACAGGUUGCAGUGAGCCAAGAUCGCGCCACUGCAGUCCAGCCUGGGUGACAGAGCAAGACUCCGUCUCAA
rnacentral:sRNA from 1 species